rnacentral:ncRNA from 1 species
GAAAGCCGUGUUGCGGGAGAACCGUACGCACGGUUCGGAGGGAGGGGCAGCUAAAACCGUCCCUACCCCAU